GUCUGUGGCCAUACCACUCUGAAUGCGCCUGCUCUCAUCUGAUCUUGGAAGCUAAGCAGGAUUGGCCUUGGUUAGCACUUGGAUGGGAGACAGAGGAUUUAAUAGAAAUGCAGUGC
rnacentral:rRNA from 1 species